GUUCGGCUAAAGAGUCCCAUGUAGGACGAAACGCGCUUCCUGGAU
rnacentral:hammerhead_ribozyme from 1 species